rnacentral:misc_RNA from 1 species
GAUGAAGAACGCAGCGAAAUGCGAUAAGUAAUGUAAAUUGCAGAAUUCAGUGAAUCAUCGAAUCUUUGAACGCACAUUGCGCCCGCCAGUAUUCUGGCGGGCAUGCCUGUUCGAGCGUCAUUUCAACCCUCAGGCCCCGCCUGGCGUUGGGGAUCGGCGCGGCCCUCUCCGGGCUGCCGGCCCCGAAAACUAGUGGCGGUCUCGCUGUAGUCCUCCUCUGCGCAGUAGCAACGCUCGCACUGGAACUCGGCGCGGCCACGCCGUAAAACACCCCACUUCUGAAAGUUGACCUCGGAUCAGGUAGGAAUACCCGCUGAACUUAAGCAUAUCAAUAAGCGGAGGA